UACGCUGUUAUCCCUAAAGUAACUUAUUCUUUUAAUCUUUAAAAAGGAUCAUAAAGAAAUCUAAUUAUAACUAUAUAAAAUAUAAAACAGUUAUUCAUUAUAUCUAAAUCACCCCAAUAAAACAAAAUUAAAAUAAUUUAUUUUAGAAUCUACUUUAUAAACUACUACUAUUUUGUAAAGUUUUAAAGGGUCUUAUCGUCCCUUUAAAUUAUUUAAGCCUUUUCACUUAAAAGUAAAAUUCAAAUUCUUAUAUAAAAGACAGUUAUUUUUUUGUUCAAUCAUUCAUUCCAGUUUUCAAUUAAAAA
rnacentral:rRNA from 1 species